GUCGGGAUAGCUCAGCUC
rnacentral:tRNA from 1 species